CCUACGGGAGGCAGCAGUGAGGAAUAUUGGACAAUGGGCGCAAGCCUGAUCCAGCCAUGCCGCGUGCAGGAAGACGGUCCUAUGGAUUGUAAACUGCUUUUGUACGGGAAGAAACACUCCUUCGUGAAGGAGCUUGACGGUACCGUAAGAAUAAGGAUCGGCUAACUCCGUGCCAGCAGCCGCGGUAAUACGGAGGAUCCAAGCGUUAUCCGGAAUCAUUGGGUUUAAAGGGUCCGUAGGCGGUUUAGUAAGUCAGUGGUGAAAGCCCAUCGCUCAACGGUGGAACGGCCAUUGAUACUGCUAGACUUGAAUUAUUAGGAAGUAACUAGAAUAUGUAGUGUAGCGGUGAAAUGCUUAGAGAUUACAUGGAAUACCAAUUGCGAAGGCAGGUUACUACUAAUGGAUUGACGCUGAUGGACGAAAGCGUGGGUAGCGAACAGGAUUAGAUACCCUGGUAGUCCACGCCGUAAACGAUGGAUACUAGCUGUUGGGGGCAACUUCAGUGGCUAAGCGAAAGUGAUAAGUAUCCACCUGGGGAGUACGUUCGCAAGAAUGAAACUUAAAGGAAUUGACGG
rnacentral:rRNA from 1 species